UUAAAUAAUCAAACAUUAAUCAUAUAUUUUAUUAAUUUCAUAAUUUUUCAAUCACACAUUUUUUAAUAACUUUGAUCGACCAAGAAAAUUAAUUUUUAAUUCACCUCUUUAAAGUUUUAAUUAACGCGUUCAGUCUUUACAAAAAAAAGUAUCUAAAAGAAAAAAUUCAUCAAAUUCAAAGCCUUGUAUCCGAAGGAAAAUCCAACGGACAAAUACAGUGUCCGUACCGUUGGUGAAGCAACACGACAUGCACAGAUCCGUUACACACAUAUACAAACAAGUAUAUAUUCGUACAUAUCUUCGCUCUUCAUUGGCAACAAUUCACACCUGGGUUUUCCAAAUUUUUCGUAUUAUAUACGCACAUUUGUGGGUUCUUGAAUUCAAUGAAUAAUUAUUGUAGCAUACGAGAUUCAAGUACCUUGGGGUUGUAGCAGGAAAUUGUUGUCCAAGCUCGGAAAUUUUUGGCUGGUGUUAGGGUCGGGUCAUGUAUACAGCUAAUUUAAUCGGGUUCGUGUUGGCUGUGGCCUCGAGUGCUUUCAUUGGAUCCAGUUUUAUCAUCAAGAAGAAGGGUCUCCAGAGAGCCAGCGCCUCUGGCUGUCGUGCCAGUAAGUAUUAAUUUUUCUGUUUUUUCUAAUUAAAGAAAAAAAUUGCUGAUUUUAUUGUUUUGUUUUGUGAAAAAAAGGUGAAGAUUUGAUGUUGUACCGCCUGCUUCAUUUUUUGUACCUGUUUCUGGAUAAUAUUAUUUUUUCAUGUCAAUUCAUCUUGUCUCUUUGUGAGUUGUAGAAAUUAUUUUUCUCAUUUUCUCAAUAUGAUGAAUUUUUUGAUGCCGUACCAUCUUUUUAAUUUUUUCUACCUGGUUCUGGAACUAUAAUUUCCCAUUAAAUUUUUCUGCAAAGAAAUAAAGAAAUGAGAUCAGUAGUAUACACUGUUUCAUUGUGAAAAAUUGUACAAUUGGGUUUAAUAUUGCUCCAUGACUAAUUGAAUUUUUAUUGAAUUUACGUAUUAAUAGUGGUUAUUUAGUGAUUGAGUGCAGCCAUAUUGAAGAUUUUGCAGUGAAUAACAGGUAGGAAAAAAAAAA
rnacentral:lncRNA from 1 species